AAAAUGGUUUGCCCUUGUCAGCAAAUAACUUGCCUCCUGCAGGAACAUUCUUUGUUGGAGAAGCUCCAACUUUGAAUACCAAUAGGCAUACUGAUCUUUUAGCAUCAACUGCUGACAGUUACAAUUCACAUAUUAAUAGCCUUGUGGGAGCGUCCACUAUUCCUACAGUAGAGAAUCCAUUAGAUUUUGGGCUGUCUUUUCGGGAGGGGCACUGUAAGGCAUUGAACCUUGAUGAAUGCCACAGGUCAACUGAAGUCAUAGCUGAUGAUGUCGACAGCAGCAGUAGCCACUGAGAAGGACAAGCCUGAAGAGGAUGGCGAUAAUGAUGAAUUUCUUGGUGGCAUGUUUUCAUUUUCUGAAGAAGGUUGAUCUCAACUCUUCUCUACUAGUGAAACGUCCAGAGUGCUGGCAUUCACGGGUCAGCGCAAUUAAAACGUUUGAGGAAGUUGGUGUUAUUUUAUUGAAGAUGUCCAUC
rnacentral:misc_RNA from 1 species